CUGGUGUUUAAGGUCGACCAAAGCAACAUCUAAAUCUCUGCUCUUCCCCCAAAUUGUCCAAAUUAGCAGCAACAGGUGUGCACCUUCCAAGCUUGCAACAGACCACAUUCAGAAGCUUGAUUUCUUGUUGUUCUGGGAAUAUCUGGAUCAGAGAUUUCUCCAAGCCACUCUCCCCGUCAUCUCCUCCACCCCCAGGACCCAACUCCUGCCCCUCCCAC
rnacentral:lncRNA from 1 species